UACAGAGGGGGCAAGCGUUGCUCGGAAUCACUGGGCGUAAAGGGCGCGUAGGCGGGAUGGCAAGUCAGUCGUGAAAUCUCUCGGCUCAACCGAGAAACGUCGGCUGAUACUGCCGUUCUUGAGGGAUGCAGAGGAGACUGGAAUUCCCGGUGUAGCGGUGAAAUGCGUAGAUAUCGGAAGGAACAUCAGUGGCGAAAGCGACUUCCUGGACCAAUACUGACGCUCAUGUGCGAAAGCGUGGGGAGCAAACAGG
rnacentral:rRNA from 1 species